GCGGGAAUAGCUCAGCUGGUAGAGCGAUACCUUGCCAAGGUAUAGGUCGGGAGUUCGAACCUCCUUUCCCGCUCCA
rnacentral:tRNA from 33 species